rnacentral:rRNA from 1 species
AAGAUUAAGCCAUGCAUGUCUAAGUACAAACUAUAUUAAAGUGAAACCGCGAAAGGCUCAUUAAAUCAGUUAUGGUUCCUUAGAUCGUACCACAAUUACUUGGAUAACUGUGGUAAUUCUAGAGCUAAUACAUGCAAACAGAGCUCUGACCGGAGACGGAAGGAGUGCUUUUAUUAGAUCAAAACCAAUCGGCGGCGGUAGCAUUUCGGUGCUAUCGUUCGUCGCUCAAUAAAUGGUGAAUCUGAAUAACUUUAUGCUGAUCGCAUGGUCUUGCACCGGCGACGCAUCUUUCAAAUGUCUGCCUUAUCAACUGUCGAUGGUAGGAUCUGCGCCUACCAUGGUUGUAACGGGUAACG